AACGAACGCUGGCGGCGUGCCUAAUACAUGCAAGUCGUACGAGAAAGUCCUUCGGGAUGAGUAGAGUGGCGCACGGGAGAGUAAUACAUAGGAACGUACCUUAGGGUGGGGGAUAACCACGGGAAACUGUGGCUAACACCGCAUGACGUCGAAAGACCAAAGCAGGCCUCUAUUUAUAAGCCUGCGCCCUUAGAGCGGCCUAUGCCCCAUUAGCUAGUUGGUGAGGUAAUGGCUCACCAAGGCGACGAUGGGUAGCUGGUCUGAGAGGACGAUCAGCCUCACUGGGACUGAGACACGGCCCAGACUCCUACGGGAGGCAGCAGUAGGGAAUUUUGCACAAUGGGCGCAAGCCUGAUGCAGCAACGCCGCGUGAGUGAAGAAGGCCCUUGGGUUGUAAAGCUCUUUCGGCCAGGAAGAAGGGUCUGCUUGCGAACAGUCUGCAGAUCUGACGGUACUGGAAGAAGAAGCACCUGCUAACUACGUG
rnacentral:rRNA from 1 species